CAGUCGCCGCGGGAAUACGUAGGGUGCGAGCGUUAAUCGGAAUUACUGGGCGUAAAGCGUGCGCAGGCGGUUAUAUAAGACAGAUGUGAAAUCCCCGGGCUCAACCUGGGACCUGCAUUUGUGACUGUAUAGCUAGAGUACGGUAGAGGGGGAUGGAAUUCCGCGUGUAGCAGUGAAAUGCGUAGGUAUGCGGAGGAACACCGAUGGCGAAGGCAAUCCCCUGGACCUGUACUGACACUCAUGCACGAAAGCGUGGGGAGCAAACAGGAUUAGAUACCCGAGUAGUCCCUGUCUCUUAUAC
rnacentral:rRNA from 1 species